rnacentral:tRNA from 2 species
AAGGGAAUUGGGUAAAGGAAUAGCUGCUAACUAAUUCCUUAAGCGGUUUAACUCCGUUUUUCCCUUC